AGAGUUUGAUCCUGGCUCAGAAUCAACGCUGGCGGCGUGCCUCAGACAUGCAAGUCGAACGAGAACCUUCCUUCGGGAAGGGGACAGUGGCGCACGGGUGAGUAACACGUGGGUAAUUUACCUUUGGGUGGGGAACAACAGCCGGAAACGGCUGCUAAUACCGCAUAAUGCAGCGGCUCGACAUCGAGACAGUUGUUAAAGCGGGGGAUCGCAAGACCUCGCGCCUAAAGAGAAGCCCGCGGCAGAUUAGCUAGUUGGUAGGGUAAUGGCCUACCAAGGCAACGAUCUGUAACCGGCCUGAGAGGGCGGUCGGUCACACUGACACUGACAUACGGGUCAGACUCCUACGGGAGGCAGCAGUCGGGAAUUUUGGGCAAUGGGCGAAAGCCUGACCCAGCAACGCCGCGUGAAGGAUGAAGCUUUUCGGAGUGUAAACUUCACAAGAAUGGGAAGAAUAAGUUUAGGAUAAUACCCUGAACGAUGACGGUACCAUUUGUAAGCUCCGGCUAACUCCGUGCCAGCAGCCGCGGUAAUACGGGGGGAGCAAGCGUUGUUCGGAUUUACUGGGCGUAAAGGGCGCGUAGGCGGCGCGACAAGUCACUUGUGAAAUCUCUGGGCUCAACCCAGAACGGUCAAGUGAUACUGUCGUGCUAGAGUGCGGAAGGGGCAACUGGAAUUCUUGGUGUAGCGGUGAAAUGCGUAGAUACCAAGAGGAACACCUGCGGCGAAGGCGGGUUGCUGGGCCGACACUGACGCUGAGGCGCGAAAGCUAGGGGAGCGAACGGGAUUAGAUACCCCGGUAGUCCUAGCCUUAAACGAUGAAUGCUUGGUGUCCGGAGUUAGAUAGUCUCCGGGUGCCGUCGCUAACGCUUUAAGCAUUCCGCCUGGGGAGUACGGUCGCAAGACUGAAACUCAAAGGAAUUGACGGGGACCCGCACAAGCGGUGGAGCAUGUGGUUUAAUUCGACGCAACGCGAAGGACCUUACCUAGUCUAGAAUGCUCCUGACAGCCCUAGAGAUAGGGUUUCUUGGGUAAAACCAAGCAGGAUGCAAGGUGCUGCAUGGCU
rnacentral:rRNA from 1 species